rnacentral:rRNA from 1 species
UGAGCAAUCUGCCCUUCUCUUCGGAAUAAGCGUUGGAAACGACGUCUAAUGCCGAAUACGACCUCCUUUCGCAUGAUCGGAGGUGGAAAGCUCCGGCGGAGAAGGAUGAGCUCGCGGCCUAUCAGCUAGUUGGUGUGGGUAAUGGCCCACCAAGGCGACGACAGGUAGCCGGCCUGGAGAGGGUGACCGGCCACACGUGGGACUGAGACACGGCCCAGACCUCCGUACGGGGAGCAG